rnacentral:rRNA from 1 species
AAUAUUGCGCAAUGGAGGGAACUCUGACGCAGCGACGCCGCGUGAGCGAUGAAGGCCUUCGGGUCGUAAAGCUCUGUCCUCAGGGAAGAAGAAAGUGACGGUACCUGAGGAGGAAGCCCCGGCUAACUACGUGCCAGCAGCCGCGGUAAUACGUAGGGGGCGAGCGUUGUCCGGAAUUAUUGGGCGUAAAGGGUGCGUAGGCGGCUUAUUAAGUCUGAUGUGAAAGACCACGGCUUACCCGUGGGGUUGCAUUGGAAACUGGUAGGCUUGAGUGUCGGAGAGGACAGUGGAAUUCCUAGUGUAGCGGUGAAAUGCGUAGAUAUUAGGAGGAACACCAGCGGCGAAGGCGACUGUCUGGACGAUAACUGACGCUGAGGCACGAAAGCUAGGGGAGCGAAC